GACAGAGGAUGCAAGCGUUAUCCGGAAUGAUUGGGCGUAAAGCGUCUGUAGGUGGCUUUUUAAGUCCGCCGUCAAAUCCCAGGGCUCAACCCUGGACAGGCGGUGGAAACUACCAAGCUGGAGUACGGUAGGGGCAGAGGGAAUUUCCGGUGGAGCGGUGAAAUGCGUAGAGAUCGGAAAGAACACCAACGGCGAAGGCAGAUCACUGGGCCGCAACUGACGCUGAGGAGCGAAAGCAUGGGGAGCGAACAGG
rnacentral:rRNA from 1 species